rnacentral:rRNA from 1 species
ACGUCCCUGCCCUUUGUACACACCGCCCGUCGCUACUACCGAUUGAAUGGCUCAGUGAGGCGUCCGGACUGGCCCAGAGAGGUGGGCAACUACCACUCAGGGCCGGAAAGCUCUCCAAACUCGGUCAUUUAGAGGAAGUAAAAGUCGUAACAAGGUCUCCGUUGGUGAACCAGCGGAGGGAUCAUUA